GAAAUAUAAAUUUAAGCUUCUAACUUAAAACUUAGCAAAUUUGUUAAUAUUUCU
rnacentral:tRNA from 1 species